UACGGAGGGGGCUAGCGUUGUUCGGAAUUACUGGGCGUAAAGCGUACGUAGGCGGCUUUGUAAGUUAGAGGUGAAAGCCCGGAGCUCAACUCCGGAAUUGCCUUUAAGACUGCAUCGCUAGAAUCAUGGAGAGGUUAGUGGAAUUCCGAGUGUAGAGGUGAAAUUCGUAGAUAUUCGGAAGAACACCAGUGGCGAAGGCGACUAACUGGACAUGUAUUGACGCUGAGGUGCGAAAGCGUGGGGAGCGAACGAGG
rnacentral:rRNA from 1 species